rnacentral:rRNA from 1 species
AGUGAACGCUGGCGGUAGGCCUAACACAUGCAAGUCGAACGGCAGCACAGUAAGAGCUUGCUCUUACGGGUGGCGAGUGGCGGACGGGUGAGGAAUACAUCGGAAUCUACUUUUUCGUGGGGGAUAACGUAGGGAAACUUACGCUAAUACCGCAUACGACCUACGGGUGAAAGCAGGGGAUCUUCGGACCUUGCGCGAUUGAAUGAGCCGAUGUCGGAUUAGCUAGUUGGCGGGGUAAAGGCCCACCAAGGCGACGAUCCGUAGCUGGUCUGAGAGGAUGAGCCCCCCCACGGGAGACUGGAGCCCGGCCCGCCCCCUCAGGGGGGGCCAGCUGGGGGGAAUUGGGGACAGGGGGCGAGCCUGUGCCCCCCCUACCGCGUGGGUGAGAAAGGCCUUCGGGGUUUAAAGCCCCUUUUUGUGGAAAAAAAAAAACCGGGUUUAAACCCCCCUUUUUUCACGGGACCCAAAGAAAAAGCACCCCCUAACACCGC